GACGAACGCUGGCGGCGUGCUUAACACAUGCAAGUCGAACGGAAAGGCCCUGCUUUUGUGGGGUGCUCGAGUGGCGAACGGGUGAGUAACACGUGAGUAACCUGCCCUUGACUUUGGGAUAACUUCAGGAAACUGGGGCUAUUACCGGAUAGGAGCUCCUGCUGCAUGGUGGGGGUUGGAAAGUUUCGGCGGUUGGGGAUGGUCUCGCGGCUUAUCAGCUUGUUGGUGGGGUAGUGGCUUACCAAGGCUUUGACGGCUAGCCGGCCUGGGAGGGUGACCGGCGACAUUGGGACUGAGGUACGGCCCAGACGCCUACGGGAGGCAGCAGUGGGGAAUAUUGCACAAUGGGCGGAAGCCUGAUGCAGAAACGCCGCGUGCGGGAUGACGGCCUUCGGGUUGUAAACCGCUUUCGCCUGUGACGAAGCGUGAGUGACGGUAAUGGGUAAAGAAGCACCGGCUAACUACGUG
rnacentral:rRNA from 1 species